AUUGAACGCUGGCGGCAGGCCUAACACAUGCAAGUCGAGCGGAUGAAGGGAGCUUGCUCCUGGAUUCAGCGGCGGACGGGUGAGUAAUGCCUAGGAAUCUGCCUGGUAGUGGGGGAUAACGUCCGGAAACGGGCGCUAAUACCGCAUACGUCCUGAGGGAGAAAGUGGGGGAUCUUCGGACCUCACGCUAUCAGAUGAGCCUAGGUCGGAUUAGCUAGUUGGUGGGGUAAAGGCCUACCAAGGCGACGAUCCGUAACUGGUCUGAGAGGCUGAUCAGUCACACUGGAACUGAGACACGGUCCAGACUCCUACGGGAGGCAGCAGUGGGGAAUGUUGGACACUGGGCGAAAGCCUGCUCCAGCCAUGCCGCGUGUGUGAAGAAGGUCUUCGGAUUGUAAAGCACUUUAAGUUGGGAGGAAGGGCAGUAAGUUAAUACCUUGCUGUUUUGACGUUACCAACAGAAUAAGCACCGCCUAACUUCGU
rnacentral:rRNA from 1 species